rnacentral:rRNA from 1 species
GACGAACGCUGGCGGUGUGCCUAAUACAUGCAAGUAGGACGCUGAGGACUGGUGCUUGCACUGGUCUAAGGAGUUGCGAACGGGUGAGUAACGCGUAGGUAACCUACCUCAUAGCGGGGGAUAACUAUUGGAAACGAUAGCUAAUACCGCAUGACAAUAGGGUACACAUGUACCCUAUUUAAAAGGGGCAAAUGCUUCACUAUGAGAUGGACCUGCGUUGUAUUAGCUAGUUGGUAAGGUAACGGCUUACCGAGGCGACGAUACAUAGCCGACCUGAGAGGGUGACCGGCCACACUGGGGCUGAGACACGGCCCAG